CAGAAAAAAUUGCUAAUGGAACUUGAUGAACCUACGUACAUUAUGACAUGCAAGAACAUCAUUGUCGUGAAUUCCAGCCAAAUAAUAGUUGAAUCAAGACUUGGUGAUAGGAAAGAGGAUUGGGAUUGUUUUGGUUUCUGAAGGGCUAUAUCAUUUACCAUGCAUGUUCUUAUGACAACGGUUAGAAAAACAAAGAAGAAUAGAGAGGAUCUCCUUCAGUUGUUCUUGUAUUGGCUUGAACGUCUUGGUCAUCUCCCUUUUGAAAUUUUGAGAUAGUUAUUUCUUGAUUUAUGUUUUAAUUUAGAUAUGAAUAUGAUAUCUUGUGAUGUAUGUCAUUUUGCUAAACAUGUAGUGUGGGGACCUUCAGGAAUUCAUUCUCAUCAUGGCUUUCAGUACUUCAUUACCUUUAUAGAUUAUUUCUCUCGCAACACUUAUUGAAAGACCGUAGUGAAGUGUCUAAUAUCAUAGAGACUUUCAUUGUUCUUAUGGAGACUCAAUUUGAAAGCUCUGUUAAGACCUUUCGGCGUGACAAUGCCCAUGAGUAUAUGUGUCAAUCUGUUGAUAAUUUCUUUCAAAAAAAGGGAUUGUUCAUGAGACGUCUUGUAGUUAUACUCCUCCCCAAAAUGGGGUAGCUGAGAGAAAGAACCGUCAGUUACUUAAUGUCACUAGGGCUCUCUUGUUUCAAAUGAACCUUUCAAAACAGUAUUGGGGUGAUGUUGUUCUCACUAGUGCAUAUUUAAUCAAUUGUAUGCCUAGUCGUGUGCUGAAUGGGCGAACUCUUUUGUCUAUGCUACCAGGGAGUCGUCAACCCUUUCCUCUUCCACCUUGUGUUUUUGGUUGUGUCUGCUUUAUUCAUAAUCACAAUCCUAAUGUUAAAAAACUUGGUCCAUGGUCGAUUAAGGGUGUAUUUGUAGGCUAUUCUCCCACUCAAAAGGGGUAUAAGUGUCUUGAUCCCUCUACUGGUUGUGUCUAUGUCACUAAGGAUGUCACUUUCUUGGAACAUGUCUCCUUUUUUGUUGAGAAUUCUCUUGAGGGGGAAAAGUCUCUGUCAAGGGAAAAGUAUUCUCUGAGUCAAGAAAUUCAAUUCAUAGAUUUUCUGGAAUAAAAAAAGGAAGAGAGUCAAGUAACUUACAGAUGU